UCUAUAAAUAAUACAACAUAUUUAUAUAAAUCAGAGAGGCUAGAUCUAAAAUAGAAGUGUACAUGAAUCCAUAGCAGAAUAAAUUUACACAUCCUGCGGUAGAUCUUCCAAAUCAACAUGGGUUCUUUGAAGUUUUCACAUUCUCUCUUUUUUGGUAAUGGAGUGAUAGAAUGAAAAAAAUUCUAAAUCUAAUUUGGGAGCAUAAUUGCCUAUUUAUAUCUUUAUAUU
rnacentral:lncRNA from 1 species